rnacentral:rRNA from 1 species
UACGAGGGGGGCGAGCGUUGUUCGGAAUUAUUGGGCGUAAAGCGCGUGUAGGCGGCUUUGCAAGUCGGGUGUGAAAGCCCUCAGCUUAACUGAGGAAGUGCGCCCGAAACUGCAUUGCUUGAGUACCGGAGAGGAUGGCGGAAUUCCCCAAGUAGAGGUGAAAUUCGUAGAUAUGGGGAGGAACACCGGUGGCGAAGGCGGCCAUCUGGACGGAUACUGACGCUGAGACGCGAAAGCGUGGGUAGCAAACAGG